AUGAGAGUGCCAGAUCAUCUUGUUUCCUGAAGAACCUGUAUGCAGAUCAAGAAGCAACAGUUAGAACUGAACAUGGAAGAACUGAUUAGUUCAAGAUUGGGAAAGGAGUAUGUCAAGGCUAUAUAUUGUAACUUUAUUUAAUUUAUAUACAAAGUCCAUCUUAUGAAAUGCUGGGCUGGAUGAAAACUAGAAUUCAGGUUUCUGGGGGAAAUAUCAGUAAUCUCAGAUAUGAAGAUGAUACCAUUUUGGUAGAAAAACAAAUUGAAGCCUCUUGAUGAGUUUGAAAAAGAUGUAAAAGCUAGCUUGAAGCUUAACAUAAAAAACCCCAAACAGACAGGAUCAUGGCAUGUGGUCCCAUUGCUUCCUGGCAAAUAGAGGGAGAAGAAAUUUAAGAGGUGUUGGAUUUUAUAUUCUUGAAUUCAAGAUCACUGCAGAUAGCAACCGCCAUGAAAUGAAAGAUGUUCCUUGGAAGGAAAGCUAUGGAAAACUUGGAAAACAUACUAAAAAGAGGAGACAUAACAUUUCUGACAAAAGUUUAUAGAGUCAUAGCUAUGGUUUUUGUAGUAACAAUGUGUGGCCGUGAGAGAUGAGUAUAAGGAAAGCUAAGUGCUAUAGGAUUGACACUUUUGAAUUGUGCUGGAGGAGACUUUGAGAGCCCCUUGGAAAGCAAGGAAAUUAGUCAAUACUUAAAAAAAAUAACUCCAACUGUUUGAAGGAAAGAUACUGAAGCUGAAAAAGAACUUGUUGCUGGAAAAGAUUGAAGGUAAAAAGAGAAGGGGACAGCAGAGGAUGAAUUGGAUAAGUUACUGUCAUUUAAGUAAUGGAUAUGAGCUUGAAUAAACUUGAAGAGGAGAGAAGAGCUAUGAACUCUAUGGUUCAUGGGCAUCAUGAAGAAUCAGGAACACCUGAAUAAACACAAUGUACCAGGCACUGUCCUAAGGGCUGGGUAUUAAAAAAGAGACUAAAAACAGUGCUUAUCCUUAAGGAACUUGCAAAUGAAUGAUUGGUUGCUUUGAUAUAUGUAUUGAAG
rnacentral:lncRNA from 1 species